AACAAAAAGUGAAUCUAUUUCGAGUUAUUCUGGGUAUUGCAGACAUCCGCACAAACUUAAUAUACCCAUACGCCAGACAUGGUACAGGGUAUUAGAACUAACGUCAAUAUGAAAAUUAUUCUUUUUUACUUUUAGCCAAAUUUUAAUUAAGCAAAAUAAUGACUGGAUUUUCACUUGAGAAUGCAGUUCAAAUAUCCAAACAGUCGAAUGAAAACAGAAUACGGGCCAAUUGUCCGCUAAGCUCGAUAAAGUGGACAAUCGAUUUUUUCCAACAUUUAAGAUGACCGGUCCCGUGUAACCUCCUUUCUAUAUCAUGCUUAAUUGUUUGUCGUUGAGGAAAAAAAAGUUACAAAAUGAUGUCAUUUUUAUGAACACAGUUUACCUAAUGGUCGGGAGCUAAAUGUUAACUUCCUAAGGAAUUUUAAUUGACUACAAUGUUUUUUUUUUUUUUACAUUUAAUAACAAAGGGAGUCAAUUAUAAACACUUUCCGAAACGAUAAAAUUCAAUUCGAUUUGCAUCAAAAUAAGACAUGAAUAAUGAGAUGAAAUUUGUUCUAGAAGGUUUUUUAAUUAAUUUACGUUGAAAAACAAAAAUUUGUCAAAAGGAAAAAUAUUUGACAUCAGAUUCGAUAAAUUAUAUGGGAAAGUGUUUUUAUAUCCAACAGCGAAGGAUGAGAGGUAUAUUCAUUUUGUCAAAACGUUCGCAACUCUCAGAAGAAAGCCUCAGAGACAACACAAAACACAUAUUUUGUUGAUCAGCAUCAAAUGGUGAAUCGAGUAAGGGAUGUCCGUCUGUCCUUCUGUCCGUCUGUGUAAUACUUGUUGCAUUCCCUUGCCAUAAAAAUGGAGGAGCAACUUUGUACGCGGGCUGGAAUUGAAAAUGGGCCAAAUCGAUUAAAGUACAGACCUAGGGUACCACAUAAAAAGGAUGGAAAAGUUGUUUCUUUGAUCAUUUCUCACAAGCUAUAAGAGAUACAUUUUUUAUAAAAAUUUAUAUGUGUUUUCUAUGGGUAAUGCUGUAGUGGCUGUGCAAAAAUCGAGAAUAUCGGUAACGCCUACCCACUAUUAUAGUGUACAAAAACCUAUUUUUUUUUUAAUAUCUCUAUAACGCGCGGAUGACGGCUUCAAAAGCCCCAUAAUGUUUGUAAAUUCUUGUACAGUUUCGAAAUCGGAAUGCAUCUAAGCAUGUACGUCUGUUCAUCACUCCAUGUGUACGUCUCCCCGACUUUGUGGCAUCUACGGUAAACCUUCUCUCUAUCGUAAAAAUUGCAAAACCUGAUAAAGAACGCGCCUACAACGCCCACAUACCUAUGAAAAAAAAACACCGUUUUGUUUUGGCUUAUUGCUGAUAGAUUACAACACUGUCCACUUUUAUUCUGAAAAUAGAAAAACUCAUCCAAUAUCGUAGAGUGUGAAAGCUUAUCUAUUUUUCUUUGGUCUUUUUUUUUAGAAUAACGGUGAUAUGGAAGACUUUCUAAGAAAAGGGAGAACGAAGUACAUAUCCAUGGUGCGUUAUAUGUGUCAUGCAGCAUUUAGCAAAAAUUUAGCAGAAAAACGGAUUAAAAAUGUCACAAUGAACUCAGAUAAUGAUAAUUGGGAGGGCAAAGUUAGACGAAAAAGAAGUCAAAAAGUUUGGAAAGUCGCGAGAGUCGGGCCAACAGAGAUAAAUCGCAACCCUCGAAUGGACAAGACCAGGACGAGAAUUAAAUCGUUGUAACAUACAAUUUCCUGCAAAUCGUUUAUCCAUACAUCUCAACGUUUCAAACAUUUUCAUAAAACAAGAAGAAGAAGAAGAGGAUUGGUACUUUGGGCCUCGGUGAGCAUGGCUAAUUUUUCUCAUUUUCACAGUCCAUAAGUAAAGAGGGAAGAGCUCAUAUUUUUGUUUGAAGCAGCAUUUCCUUUUUUUGGUCACACGUUAAAUACCAUUGUGGAUAUGUUCUAAGACCGAUAUGGAUUAAUUUCAAUAUUGAGCAGCGUGCAAUCUCUUCCCCGAACACAAACGGACACAUCGACAGAUCGCUUCAGAAUCUGAUAUAGAUCAAGAAUAUUUUCACAUAAAUAUGCCGCCAAAAAAAAACAAAAGCCUUCAACUUCUCACUGUAAGAACUAGUUCAUGAGGCAGCUUCGGAAUUAAUUUUAACCAAUAUCAGCGCAUGUAAAAACCAUGGGUGAACUUUCCUGGAAGCUAUCUUCUACAAUUUCUUUGGCAUAGAAUUGAAAAAUAAACAUAGCACCAAUUUUUCUGUCCACUUGCGCAUUGUAGCCACUGUUACGACAAACAUUAAAUAGAAUGCUGAUCAAUAGUAAAAGUGGUUGAGGCUUCCUUAUGGAUACUGUAAACAAUGACAACACGACCAACCAGAUUCUAAAGUAAUGGACAUAAAAAUACCUAUUUGCGUGUUAUAGUCAGAAUACGUACAAUAAGUAAAGUAAGUAAGUA